rnacentral:lncRNA from 1 species
CACGUUGUCAGCCAAGAAUGAAGCCGGCAUCGUGUCGUGCACUGCCAGGCUGGAUAUAUACGCUCAGUGGCACCAUCAGAUCCCACCGCCCAUGUCUGUCCGGCCCAGUGGCAGUCGCUACGGAUCUCUCACCAGUAAAGGACUUGACAUAUUUUCUGCCUUUUCCUCCAUGGAAAGCACGAUGGUGUAUUCAUGCUCUUCUCGGAGUGUAGUGGAGAGUGAUGAACUUUAAGAAUGUCUAGGUACCUGCUGUGUAAGAGAGCGGACUGUGGAGGGGGAAUGAGAACAAGCCAGACUUGGUGGUUUCCAAGCAACCGAAGUUGAGUAAGUUCCCACACUGCUGGACCUGUGGCAAAGAGUGCUUUGAAUAAGUCAGCUAGGGAUUCUUGCAGUCUCAGCUGAGGGAGAAAGGUAGGGCUGUGCCUUCUAAAGAUUCCAACAGAGAUGUGAGAAGAUAAUACAGAUGAACCAAAGAUGUCACACAGUUGCCAUCCACUGCUUUGGGAAAAAACUAGCAUGCUCCCCUGCUCCCUGUUGUGUUAGGGAUGUUUAGGUCAUACUAGGAGCAAUUAGGAGCCAUAUGCCUGGGCUGAGAAGAGCUAGGCAGUAGUGACCUUAGGAUAUGACUAACUCACCAAACAAUGCCAAGGAGAAAGGCGGACAGGUCACCAUCACCUUUCAUCGAUUACAUGUAUAGCAGUAGUUUUGGUGAAUUCACCAAAUCAGCUUCCACUUAGCAUUAGGAGGUCAUGCCAUACAACUCACGUAUGCGGGCAAACACUUUUGAUUUGCAUAUCCUGGGUGUACUGAGCCACAUAAUAAGGUGUCAAAAUGUGCUUGAGAUUCC